GAUGAACGCUGGCGGCGUGCCUAAUACAUGCAAGUCGAGCGAACAGAUGAGGAGCUUGCUCCUCGGACGUGAGCGGCGCAGGGGUGAGAAACGCGUGGAUAACCCAUCUAUAAGACUGGGAUAACUUCGGGAAACUGGAGCUAAUAGCGUAAAAGAUAUUGUACCGUAUGGUUCAAUAGUGAAAGACGGUUUUGCUGUUACUUAAAGAUGGAUCCGGGCCGCAGUAGCUAGUUGGUAAGGUAACGGCUAACCAAGGCAACGAUGCGUAGCCGACCUGGGGGGGUGAUCGCCACCACUGGACCUGGGCACCGGUCCGGACUCCUACGGGAGGCGGCGGUAGGGAAUCUUCCGAAAUGGGCGAAAGCUUGACGGGGCACCGCCGGGUAGGUAAUAAGGGUCUUCGGAUCUUAAAACUCUGUUAUUAGGGAAGAACAAAUGUGUAAGUAACUAUGCACGUCUUGACGGUACCUAAUCAGAAAGCCACGGCUAACUACGUG
rnacentral:rRNA from 1 species